UGGUGGUGCUGUUUGGGGAACUCAAACUGUAGCUUUGAGAAUAUAUGGCUUCGGGCUGGAGAGAUGGCUCAGCCGUUAAAGGCUAGGCUCACAACCAAAAAUAUA
rnacentral:miRNA from 1 species